rnacentral:rRNA from 1 species
GACGAACGCUGGCGGCGUGCUUAACACAUGCAAGUCGAACGGAAAGGCCCUGCUUUUGUGGGGUGCUCGAGUGGCGAACGGGUGAGUAACACGUGAGUAACCUGCCCUUGACUUUGGGAUAACUUCAGGAAACUGGGGCUAAUACCGGAUAGGAGCUCCUGCUGCAUGGUGGGGGUUGGAAAGUUUCGGCGGUUGGGGAUGGACUCGCGGCUUAUCAGCUUGUUGGUGGGGUAGUGGUUUACCAAGGCUUUGACGGGUAGCCGGCCUGAGAGGGUUACCGGGCACAUUGGGACUGAGAUACGGCGCAGACUCCUACGGGAGGCAGCAGGGGGGAGUAUUGCGCAAUGGGCGGAAGCCUGAUGCAGCGACGCCGCGUGCGGGAUGACGGCCUUCGGGUUGUGAACAGCUUUCGCCUGUGACGAAGCGUGAGUGACGGUAAUGGGUAAAGAAGCACCGGCUAACUACGUG